UCAGUGUCAGUCCUGCGGGGUGCGUCGUUUUCUUAAUGCGUCGUCAUGCUCCGAAACAGAAUAUAAAAUAAGUAUCGAAAAAGUGAUGUGUGAUCGUCACAUAUGUGACUAGUGAACUUUUGUGCGAAGCGUCUUUCUUAGAAUUUUCUAACCUUAUAAUCGCGACUAAUGAUGCACGCGACGGAUGCUUUGCUUUAUUUCUGAAUAAAAAUAAGUCGUCGAAUCGUCGAGCAUCAGUAUGAAAUUAUCUUCGUUUUUCGAAUUCUUUAAACAUAUCUCGAAAGUAACGGGAGUGUCGUGCGAAGUUGCGGGCGAUUAUCUGUCCAUUUCGCGCUAUUUAUUCGUUCGAAAGUUUAUCGCAUGAGUAUCGUGCGUCGGGAGUGUCGUUUCGUGCUUGUAAUAAUAGUGUUUAGGAAUCGUUGCGUUGUGCAUUAAAAAUACCGCGUGCGUAAAACUCAGGAGUGCUGUUUCAAUUAACCGGUCGUACCGUAAAUGACAAUUAGUGCUAAAUAAGUAUGUGUUUGGAGCAACGAUGACACUCACAGCACGUAGCUGGACAUUGUAGCGGAUUGCAGCGGCAGGAUAUCGCAGCAGAAGCAGUGAAACCUCGACUGGAUUGCUUCACGUCGGCUCGAGAGAAAAAGAAAACUGUCGUGACGACAACAGAAUCGAAAUUAAUAACGUCGACUCACCUGCGCAUACGAGCCGCAACGUGAAGUUUGCUUGCCGAAACCAGCGAUCUACGCGUG
rnacentral:lncRNA from 1 species